rnacentral:rRNA from 1 species
UACAGAGGUGGCAAGCGUUGUUCGGAAUUAUCGGUGGCGUAAAGGGCGCGUAGGCGGUUCGUUAAGUCCUGUGUGAAAUCCCCCGGCUCAACUGGGGAACUGCACAGGAAACUAGCGGGCUUGAGUUCGGGAGAGGGAAGCGGAAUUCCGGGUGUAGCGGUGAAAUGCGUAGAUAUCCGGAGGAACACCGGUGGCGAAGGCGGCUUCCUGGACCGACACUGACGCUGAGGCGCGAAAGCUAGGGGAGCGAACGGG